GGGGUUAUAGCUCAGCCUGGGAGAGCACUACGCUGAAGACGUAGGUGUCCUGGAUUCAAAUUCCAGUAACCCCA
rnacentral:tRNA from 1 species